UACGUAGGGGGCAAGCGUUGUCCGGAAUUAUUGGGCGUAAAGAGCGUGUAGGCGGUCCGGUAAGUCCGCUGUGAAAGUCCAGGGCUCAACCCUGGAAUGCCGGUGGAUACUGCCGGGCUAGAGUCCGGAAGAGGCGAGUGGAAUUCCUGGUGUAGCGGUGAAAUGCGCAGAUAUCGGAAGGAACGCCGGUGGCGAAAGCGGCGUGCUGGACCCCUUCUGACGCUGAGGCGCGAAAGCCAGGGGAGCGAACGGG
rnacentral:rRNA from 1 species